AUUUUCUGGCAUGUCAAAAUCAGGAGGCCCAAAAUCAUGAUCAGCACUAUCAUAGUCAUUGUCUUCAUUCUUUUCAUUUGGGGUACAGAAAUCAUCAUAGUCAAUGUUCACCCCAUGAAGAAGUGAUUCCCGGAGCUUCUCAAAUAGUGGUGGAGACUGUGAGUCGACUUGCUUAGCACAACAUUUCCUCUCCCACAUCUCGUUGAGGUCGGCAUUAAUGGGACCAUGUAAUCUUG
rnacentral:misc_RNA from 1 species